CACGUAGGGUGCGAGCGUUGUCCGGAAUUAUUGGGCGUAAAGAGCUCGUAGGCGGUUUGUCGCGUCUGCUGUGAAAACUCGGGGCUUAACCCCGGGCCUGCAGUGGGUACGGGCAGACUAGAGUGCGGUAGGGGAGACUGGAAUUCCUGGUGUAGCGGUGAAAUGCGCAGAUAUCAGGAGGAACACCGGUGGCGAAGGCGGGUCUCUGGGCCGUAACUGACGCUGAGGAGCGAAAGCGUGGGGAGCGAACAGG
rnacentral:rRNA from 1 species